ensembl:lncRNA probable myosin heavy chain ECU04_1000
AUGAGUGUAGAAUGGCAGAAGAAGAUGACGAGCACUGAGCUGGAGAAGAAAAUAGACGAUCUCCAACAGGCCAAGAGUGAAGUGGAGAACAUGAAGAGUGAAGUGUGUAGGCUCAACCAACAUCUCACUCUGAUUGAGGAAAAGGAGAAAGAAACACAAGAAAUGGAGCUUCUGGUGAAGGAGAACGCUGAAAUGAAGGUGCUCGCCGCCACAAGCGGAAGGAGAAGAAACAGAAGGAGGAGGACAAAGAAGAAGAAGACAUCAAGCACUGAGCUGGAUAAGAAAGAUGAGGAGACCCUCUCUUUAAUGGACGAUCUCCAACAGGCCAAGAGUGAAGUGGAGAACAUGAAGAGCGAAAUGUGUGAGUUAAAAAGCGUCCGUGAAGAUAUGGUGUGUCAGAUGGAAGCAGAAUGGGAGAAGAAGACGAUAACUGAGCUUGAGAAGAAAGAUGAGGAGAUCGUCACUUUAAAGAAAGCUAUCCAACAGGCAGAAAGUGGAGUGAAGAACAUGGAGCAUGAAGUGCAUAGGCUCAACUGCCACCAUCAGGACACUGUGUCUCAGAUGGAAGCUGAAUGGGAGAAGAAGAUGAGGAUUGAAUUGGAGAAGAAAGAUGAGGAGACCCUCUCUUUAAUGGACGAUCUCCAACAGGCCAAGAGUGAAGUGGAGAACAUGAAGAGCGAAGUGUGUGAGUUAAAAAGCGUCCGUGAUGAUAUGGUGUGUCAGAUGGAAGCAGAAUGGGAGAAGACGAGAACUGAGCUUGAGAAGAAAGAUGAGGAGAUCGUCUCUUUAAAGAAAGCUGUCCAACAGGCAGAAAGUGGAGUGGAGAACAUGGAGCAUGAAGUGCAUAGGCUCAACUGCCACCAUCAGGACACUGUGUCUCAAAUGGAAGCUGAAUGGGAGAAGAAGAUGAGCAUUGAAUUGGGGAAAAAAGAUAAGGAAAUCCUCUCUUUAAUGGACGAUCUCCAACAGGCCGAGAGUGAAGUGGAGAACAUGAAGAGCGAAGUGUGUGAGUUAAAAAGCGUCCGUGAUGAUAUGGUGUGUCAGAUGGAAGCAGAAUGGGAGAAGAAGACGAGAACUGAGCUUGAGAAGAAAGAUGAGGAGAUCGUCUCUUUAAAGAAAGCUGUCCAACAGGCAGAAAGUGGAGUGGAGAACAUGGAGCAUGAAGUGCAUAGGCUCAACUGCCACCAUCAGGACACUGUGUCUCAGAUGGAAGCUGAAUGGGAGAAGAAGAUGAGCAUUGAAUUGGGGAAGAAAGAUAAGGAGAUCCUCUCUUUUAAGAAAGCUGUCCAACAGGCCGACAGUGGAAUGGAACAGAUAGAGACUACACUGAGUGAGGUCCAAAUCAUCUUGGAUGCUGUUGUGUCUCAGAUGAGUGUAGAAUGGCAGAAGAAGAUGACGAGCACUGAGCUGGAGAAGAAAAUAGACGAUCUCCAACAGGCCAAGAGUGAAGUGGAAAACAUGAAGAGUGAAGUGUGUAGGCUCAACCAACAUCUCACUCUGAUUGAGGAAAAGGAGAAAGAAACACAAGAAAUGGAGCUUCUGGUGAAGGAGAACGCUGAAAUGAAGGUGCUCGCCACCACAAGCGGAAGGAGAAGAAACAGAAGGAGGAGGACAAAGAAGAAGACAUCAAGCACCGAGCUGGAUAAGAAAGAUGAGGAGAUCCUCUCUUUAAUGGACGAUCUCCAACAGGCCAAGAGUGAAGUGGAGAACAUAAAGAGCGAAGUGUGUGAGUUAAAAAGCGUCCGUGAUGAUAUGGUGUGUCAGAUGGAAGCAGAAUGGGAGAAGAAGACGAGAACUGAGCUUGAGAAGAAAGAUGAGGAGAUCGUCUCUUUAAAGAAAGCUGUCCAACAGGCAGAAAGUGGAGUGGAGAACAUGGAGCAUGAAGUGCAUAGGCUCAACUGCCACCAUCAGGACACUGUGUCUCAGAUGGAAGCUGAAUGGGAGAAGAAGAUGAGGAUUGAAUUGGGGAAGAAAGAUGAGGAGACCCUCUCUUUAAUGGAUGAUCUCCAACAGGCCAAGAGUGAAGUGGAGAACAUGAAGAGCGAAGUGUGUGAGUUAAAAAGCGUCCGUGAUGAUAUGGUGUGUCAGAUGGAAGCAGAAUGGGAGAAGAAGACGAGAACUGAGCUUGAGAAGAAAGAUGAGGAGAUCGUCUCUUUCAAGAAAGCUGUCCAACAGGCAGAAAGUGGAGUGGAGAACAUGGAACAUGAAGUGCAUAGGCUCAACUGCCACCAUCAGGACACUGUGUAUCAGAUGGAAGCUGAAUGGGAGAAGAAGAUGAGGAUUGAAUUGGGGAAAAAAGAUAAGGAGAUCCUCUCUUUAAUGGAUGAUCUCCAACAGGCCAAGAGUGAAGUGGAGAACAUGAAGAGCAAAGUGUGUGAGUUAAAAAGCGUCCGUGAUGAUAUGGUGUGUCAGAUGGAAGCAGAAUGGGAGAAGAAGACGAGAACUGAGCUUGAGAAGAAAGAUGAGGAGAUCGUCUCUUUAAAGAAAGCUGUCCAACAGGCAGAAAGUGGAGUGGAGAACAUGGAACAUGAAGUGCAUAGGCUCAACUGCCACCAUCAGAACACUAUGUCUCAGAUGGAAGCUGAAUGGGAGAAGAAGAUGAGGAUUGAAUUGGGGAAAAAAGAUAAGGAGAUCCUCUCUUUUAAGAAAGCUGUCCAACAGGCCGACAGUGGAAUGGAACAGAUAGAGACUACACUGAGUGAGGUCCAAAUCAUCUUGGAUGCUGUUGUGUCUCAGAUGAGUGUAGAAUGGCAGAAAAAGAUGACGAGCACUGAGCUGGAGAAGAAAAUAGACGAUCUCCAACAGGCCAAGAGUGAAGUGGAGAACAUGAAGAGUGAAGUGUGUAGGCUCAACCAACAUCUCACUCUGAUUGAGGAAAAGGAGAAAUAA